rnacentral:lncRNA from 1 species
CUAGUCUCUUUCAUGGAGAAUCGUAGAGCUCCAAAGACCUCGACGACCCUCCAAUGGCCACCGCUGGCAUCUCCACUAACCUCACUCUUUCUUCCUUUCUCUCCUCUCUCUUUUCCUCCCUAGUUCUCCCUUGUUUCCAUAUCAGUUCGGGCCCGAUAUAAUCUGGUACGAGGGCAUACCAACUCGUACCAUUAGCAGGCUAGUAUGAGAUCUAGUUCCGAAUCGACGAGCAUUGGUCAUUGGACUAUGGCCUAUCAAAUGCAGUGAUUUUAAAUCAUUGGAAAUCACAUCACCCCAAGAUUUGGGCUACUAUUGAUCUUAGAUCACCGUAGUAAUCCCAUUCAGAUCACCAAGCCCCACCUAGCUUCCAAACUUAGAGCAAAUAACAUCGCACGAAACUGCUUUAUAGUUCCAAAAAUUCUUGGAGAUAUAAAAUCUCCUUCAAUCCACAACAUGCUUCAUAGUUGAUUGUUACCAUAAAAGUGAACAAGACU